AGCAGAUUUGGAAUUGAAUCUUGUUGAAGCUGCCAAAUGAAGUUGAUCAUGGGUGCAGUCUUGCUGUCCGAAUUGAGAGUUGGCUGAAGCUGAUGCUUUGAGAGAGUUUCUAGAUGCUUCGAGUUGAAAUAAAGACUGCAAGAAUUGACAAAAGCUCAGUUGAGCUUUGAGGAAGCUUGGUGGAACUUCUGUUGGUGUUCCGAGCUGAAAGGAAACUUUAGAAAGCUGAGAACCGCUUAGUAAAGCUUCUAAUUCAGGUCGGCGACACGCUAAUUACAGUAGAGACCGUUCUAGUGCUAUUUGCUUUGAGUCGCGAGAGAUAAUUGUCGACGCAUUUCGAGACGUGAGAUCCUAGUGUUUGACACCACU